rnacentral:lncRNA from 1 species
UGGAGAAAUUGGAAACUCUCAGAUUCUUAGGCCAUCCCUAUAUGCUAGUUGGGGAAACACUAUCCCAGCCUCAACAAGGAGCUUGAUUUGGGCACAGAAACAGGAGAAAGAGACCUGCCUUGCCUCCCUUAUCCAACAGGAAGCAUUCGUCGUCUUCUGUCUUCAAUUUAUUGCAUGAUCACAUUUAUUGCAUGGGUGGCUUCAGGAAGGAUUUUAGGGAUUCCUGGAAAUAAUCAGUCUUGAAAUACUCCCCUCUUCUUCCUUCAUCUAGGAUGCUUCCUCUUCUCUCAAUAUAUUCUCACUUAUGGGUAUAAAGGUAAGUUGAGUCCUCCUUUGAUAUUAACUCUGCCUUCAGUUACCCUUAACUUUCCUUCAGUCAGCUUUCA